AUUGAACGCUGGCGGCAUGCCUUACACAUGCAAGUCGAACGGCAGCACGGGAGCAAUCCUGGUGGCGAGUGGCGAACGGGUGAGUAAUAUAUCGGAACGUGCCCGGUCGUGGGGGAUAACGUAGCGAAAGCUACGCUAAUACCGCAUACGAUCUACGGAUGAAAGCGGGGAUCGCAAGACCUCGCGCGAUUGGAGCGGCCGAUAUCAGAUUAGGUAGUUGGUGAGGUAAAGGCUCACCAAGCCGACGAUCUGUAGCUGGUCUGAGAGGACGACCAGCCACACUGGGACUGAGACACGGCCCAGACUCCUACGGGAGGCAGCAGUGGGGAAUUUUGGACAAUGGGCGCAAGCCUGAUCCAGCAAUGCCGCGUGCAGGAUGAAAGGCCUUCGGGUUGUAAACUGCUUUUGUACGGAACGAAACGGUGAGCUCUAAUACAGUUUGCUAAUGACGGUACCGUAAGAAUAAGCACCGGCUAACUACGUG
rnacentral:rRNA from 1 species